rnacentral:rRNA from 1 species
UGGGGAAUUUUGGACAAUGGGCGCAAGCCUGAUCCAGCCAUGCCGCGUGAGUGAAGAAGGCCUUCGGGUUGUAAAGCUCUUUCGGUGGGGAAGAAAUGGUUUCGGUUAAUACCCGGAACUGAUGACGGUACCCGCAUAAGAAGCACCGGCUAACUACGUGCCAGCAGCCGCGGUAAUACGUAGGGUGCGAGCGUUAAUCGGAUUUACUGGGCGUAAAGCGUGCGCAGGCGGUUGUAUAAGUCAGAUGUGAAAUCCCCGGGCUCAACCUGGGAACUGCAUUUGAGACUGUACGGCUAGAGUGUGGCAGAGGGGGGUAGAAUUCCACGUGUAGCAGUGAACUGCGUAGAGAUGUGGAGGAAUACCGAUUGCGAAGGCAGCCCCCUGGGCCAAUACUGGCGCUCAUGCACGAAAGCGUGGGGAGCAAACA